AGACAAAAACACAGACAAAAACACAGAUCAAAUCACAGACCAAAUCACAGACCAAAUCACUUGGUAAUGUUAUUACAUGUAGUAAUAAUAGCAAUCAAAACAUAGAUAACAGUAAUAAUGAAUAUAGUGAUGAUAAAAAGAAUGAUAAAAAUAAGAAUGGUUACUACAGUGACAACAAUACAAAUAGUAACAGUAACAAGAGUGAUGAAACUAAUAGAGACCUUUUUUCUGAUACAACUAAAUAUUGUAGAAAUGUAAAAGCACACAAUUUGUUAAAAUUGUUAAGUUCAAUUCAAGAUUUGUAUAAGAACGAAAAAAAAAAAAAGAAAAAAACAAACAGCAGUUGAAUAUUUUAUAUAAUUUUAAUAAUCAUAUGUUUUCACAUGUGUUACAAUUAUAUAAAACUAAUUAUGUAAAUUUUGUUCAAAAUUGUUUAAUCCCUUCUUCAUAUAUUUUUUAUAAUGAUAGUUUGUAUGUAUACAUAUUAUCAUAUUAUAUAACUUUUUAUUGCAAGCAAUUUAAUAAACAUGAUACAGAUAUAUUAAUAAGAAUUUAUAAACAACUUGGUUUGAAAUAUGAAUUAUAUAAAUUAUUAAAAAAAAAAAAUCAAGACUAGUAUCAAAAGUUUAAAAUGCACAAAUAGAAAUAAUGAUGAAAAUAUUUUUAAUAAUAAUAAUAAACUACAAACCAUAAUACUGUGCAUUAAAUUAUUACAUCAGUGUAGUUUAAUAUUAUUAGAGCUGGGGAAUUUAUACGAAUAUAACUGUAAUGUAAAAGACAUUUAUUUAUUAAUUUUACAAUUAAAAUAUAUCUAUUUAUAUAAAAAAAAAAAUUUCCAAAUUAUUCAAAACGCCAAUUUUGAAUCAUAUAUCAGUAAUUAUAUAGAAUUAAAUUCGCUAAAAAAUGAAAAAAUACAUGAACAUAACAUUCUUCAAAUAUUUGAAAAUGUUAGACAAGAGCCUUUUACCUUUUACGAUCCGAAAAUAAAUUUUUUGAAUUUGUCAUUAGAUAGUUUUAUUACUCUAGUUGAAAACCAUUCUGUAUUUUACGAAACUUUGAUUUUGUUAAAGGCGUAUGAAAACGUGUAUGAUGAUAUUGUGUAUGCACUUACACCGAAAAUUUUAUUCAUUCAAGUUGUCUUAUAUGACAAUAAGAAGUACUUAUCCGAUUAUUGUUCAUAUAGUUGUAUUGACAAAAAUACAAUAAAAUACAUAAUAAAAUUAUUUAAUAUUAAUUGCGUUUAUUUAAAAAUGCAUAAAAAAUUUCCAACAAGAAAAUAUCAAUACAUAAAGAUAAAAAAUAAGACUUUAAGUUUUGACUUUUCAUCUUAUAUUUUAUCUGCAAUAAAUAUAAAACAUUUAAACGACCAAGAGAAAAAAAAAAUUGAGGAUUAUGAAAGAC
ensembl:lncRNA